UACGGGGGGGGCAAGCGUUGUUCGGAAUUACUGGGCGUAAAGGGCCCGUAGGUGGCCAACUAAGUCAGACGUGAAAUCCCUCGGCUUAACCGGGGAACUGCGUCUGAUACUGGAUGGCUUGAGUUUGGGAGAGGGACGCGGAAUUCCAGGUGUAGCGGUGAAAUGCGUAGAUAUCUGGAGGAAUACCGGUGGCGAAGGCGGCAUCCUGGACCAAUACUGACGCUGAGGCGCGAAAGCUAGGGGAGCAAACGGG
rnacentral:rRNA from 1 species